rnacentral:rRNA from 1 species
UCCGGAGGGUGCAAGCGUUAUCCGGAUUCACUGGGUUUAAAGGGUGCGUAGGUGGGCAGGUAAGUCAGUGGUGAAAUCUCCGGGCUUAACUCGGAAACUGCCAUUGAUACUAUCUGUCUUGAAUACCGUGGAGGUUAGCGGAAUAUGUCAUGUAGCGGUGAAAUGCUUAGAUAUGACAUAGAACACCAAUUGCGAAGGCAGCUGGCUACACGAAUAUUGACACUGAUGCACGAAAGCGUGGGGAUCAAACAGG